rnacentral:rRNA from 1 species
AUGCAAGUGCACACAGAGUUGGGGAGGAAACCAGAUGGAACCAUUGAUGCCGACUCUGAGUUCUGGAUAACACACACAGAGAAGAAACCAUACCUAAGGAAGUUGCAGUGGGGUCCUCCAGCAAACAAGGAGUUGCUUGAUCAACUGUUCAGAGGUUACACUGUGGAUGGAAGCACAACCUUUGUGCCUGGAGAUGAUAUUAAUCAAGAGGAAGAUGCAGGGGCAGAAGAGGAAGAGGAGUUUCAAGGAACACCUACAAGUACAAGCAACCAGAGGAGCCAGAGGGGCAAGAGGUCAUUAAGCACUUCAAGCACUUUGACCAGUCCAUUGAAGAAGAGCAAGAGCCCAAUGGUGAAGAUUGUGAAGGACAUAGCCAAUACCGACAAGGUGUCUGUCGCAGCCAACACUAAGCAAAUGUAG